CACGAGCAACAAUAAUUCACAACCCAGCCGCCAGCUCUCUCGACCUCGAGGCUCGCCUGACCUCUCCCUCUCGCCGACUCGCCUUCCCGCUCGCCUUUCCCUCUCGCCAUAGCCAGAGCAGGCACCAGCAGAUGGAUCUGUCAGGUUCAUCUGGCGAUCAUCUUGGCGCGUAGGCGCAACUGCUAAGGAGACUUUAUGGUGAGCUGCAUUCCUGGCUACGUAUCGCAGCCCACAGAAUCUCCAUCGUAUUAUUUGCUUUAUCCUGUCUAAUUUACAUUCCAGAAAGAUGUUGUAUUAUUAUUGUACUCCUUAGUUAAUGCUCAUGCACUUGUGACAUCAGGUUUUGGGAUAUUCUAGUUGAUGUCUACGGGUAUGCACAUUAUUUUCACCCUUUAUUCUUAUGCCUUGCUAAUUACUUAUGUACCCAUGAUUUUAAAUGAGUAAAUUUCUUAGCCUAAUAAAA